CCUACGGGCGGCAGCAGUCGAGAAUCAUUCACAAUGGGGGAAACCCUGAUGGUGCGACGCCGCGUGGGGGAAUGAAGGUCUUCGGAUUGUAAACCCCUGUCAUGUGGGAGCAAAUUAAAAAGAUAGUACCACAAGAGGAAGAGACGGCUAACUCUGUGCCAGCAGCCGCGGUACUACAGAGGUCUCAAGCGUUGUUCGGAAGCACUGGGCGUAAAGCGUGCGUAGGCUGUUUCGUAAGUCGUGUGUGAAAGGCGCGGGCUCAACCCGCGGACGGCACAUGAUACUGCGAGACUAGAGUAAUGGAGGGGGAACCGGAAUUCUCGGUGUAGCAGUGAAAUGCGUAGAUAUCGAGAGGAACACUCGUGGCGAAGGCGGGUUCCUGGACAUUAACUGACGCUGAGGCACGAAGGCCAGGGGAGCGAAAGGGAUUAGAUACCCGAGUAGUC
rnacentral:rRNA from 1 species